rnacentral:rRNA from 1 species
AGAGUUUGAUCAUGGCUCAGGAUGAACGCUGGCGGCGUGCUUAACACAUGCAAGUCGAAUGAUGAUCCGGUGCUUGCGCCGGGGAUUAGUGGCGAACGGGUGAGUAACACGUGAGUAACCUGCCCUUGACUCUGGGAUAAGCCUGGGAAACUGGGUCUAAUACCGGAUAUGACUCCUCAUCGCAUGGUGGGGGGUGGAAAGCUUUUUGUGGUUUUGGAUGGACUCGCGGCCUAUCAGCUUGUUGGUGGGGUAAUGGCCUACCAAGGCGACGACGGGUAGCCGGCCUGAGAGGGUGACCGGCCACACUGGGACUGAGACACGGCCCAGACUCCUACGGGAGGCAGCAGUGGGGAAUAUUGCACAAUGGGCGAAAGCCUGAUGCAGCGACGCCGCGUGAGGGAUGACGGCCUUCGGGUUGUAAACCUCUUUCAGUAGGGAAGAAGCCCUCUUUGGGGGUGACGGUACUUGCAGAAGAAGCGCCGGCUAACUACGUGCCAGCAGCCGCGGUAAUACGUAGGGCGCAAGCGUUAUCCGGAAUUAUUGGGCGUAAAGAGCUCGUAGGCGGUUUGUCGCGUCUGCUGUGAAAGACCGGGGCUCAACUCCGGUUCUGCAGUGGGUACGGGCAGACUAGAGUGCAGUAGGGGAGACUGGAAUUCCUGGUGUAGCGGUGAAAUGCGCAGAUAUCAGGAGGAACACCGAUGGC